rnacentral:lncRNA from 1 species
UGUUAGAGUAUGGGCCCUAUUGAUUUCUCGAUUCUACUGUUUGCCUAUCUGUGGAACAGGUAAGUAAACGCAGUUCGCAGAAGAGAAAGCUGAACACAGUGUUUUUACGUGGAAAACACCCGGCUCAAGAAAGGUGUAAAAAACCACGACCUGUACCUCUACAGGAUUUAACCCCAACUUCACUAAAACUCUUGAGCCUCAACAAUCAAACAAUUACAAGGCUUCUUGUAACUU